UACGGAGGGUGCAAGCGUUAUCCGGAUUCACUGGGUUUAAAGGGUGCGUAGGCGGGCAUGUAAGUCAGUGGUGAAAUCUCCGUGCUUAACAUGGAAACUGCCAUUGAUACUAUGUUUCUUGAAUCUUCCGGAGGUCAGCGGAAUAUGUCAUGUAGCGGUGAAAUGCUUAGAUAUGACAUAGAACACCAAUUGCGAAGGCAGCUGACUACAGGGGCAUUGACACUGAGGCACGAAAGCGUGGGGAUCAAACAGG
rnacentral:rRNA from 1 species